rnacentral:misc_RNA from 1 species
GAUGAAGAACGUAGCGAAAUGCGAUAAGUAAUGCGAAUUGCAGAAUUCAGUGAGUCAUCGAAUCUUUGAACGCACAUUGCGCCCGCCAGCAUUCUGGCGGGCAUGCCUGUUCGAGCGUCAUUUCAACCCUCGAGCCCCCCCGGGGGCCUCGGUGUUGGGGGACGGCACACCAGCCGCCCCCGAAAUGCAGUGGCGACCCCGCCGCAGCCUCCCCUGCGUAGUAGCACACACCUCGCACCGGAGCGCGGAGGCGGUCACGCCGUAAAACGCCCAACUUUCUUAGAGUUGACCUCGGAUCAGGUAGGAAUACCCGCUGAACUUAAGCAUAUCAAUAAGCGGAGGA